rnacentral:rRNA from 1 species
CCUACGGGCGGCAGCAGUGAGGAAUAUUGGUCAAUGGACGAGAGUCUGAACCAGCCAAGUAGCGUGAAGGAUGACUGCCCUAUGGGUUGUAAACUUCUUUUAUAAAGGAAUAAAACGAGCCUCGUGUGCCUUUUUGCAUGUACUUUAUGAAUAAGGAUCGGCUAACUCCGUUCCAGCAGCCGCGGUAAUACGGAGGAUCCGGGCGUUAUCCGGAUUUUUUGGGUUUAAAGGGAGCGUAGGUGGGUUGGUAAGUCAGUGGUGAAAGUGUGCGGCUCAAACGUAAAAUUGCAAUUGAUACUGGCAGUCUUGAGUGGAGUUGAGGUAUGCGGAAUGCGUGGUGUAGCGGUGAAAUGCUUAGAUAUCACGAAGAACCCCGAUUGCGAAGGCAGCUUACU